CCUACGGGGGGCUGCAGUGAGGAAUAUUGGUCAAUGGGCGCUAGCCUGAACCAGCCAAGUAGCGUGAAGGAUGACUGCCCUAUGGGUUGUAAACUUCUUUUAUAUGGGAAUAAAGUGCAGUAUGUAUACUGCUUUGCAUGUACCUUAUGAAUAAGGAUCGGCUAACUCCGUGCCAGCAGCCGCGGUAAUACGGAGGAUCCGAGCGUUAUCCGGAUUUAUUGGGUUUAAAGGGAGCGUAGGUGGGUUGUUAAGUCAGUUGUGAAAGUUUGCGGCUCAACCGUAAAAUUGCAGUUGAUACUGGCAGCCUUGAGUACAGUAGAGGUAGGCGGAAUUCGUGGUGUAGCGGUGAAAUGCUUAGAUAUCACGAAGAACUCCGAUUGCGAAGGCAGCCUGCUGAACUGUAACUGACGCUGAUGCUCGAAAGUGUGGGUAUCAAACAGGAUUAGAUACCCGUGUAGUC
rnacentral:rRNA from 1 species